GAUAAACGCUGGCGGCGUGCUUUAUGCAUGCAAGUCGAACGAUCCGCCGCAAGGCGGAUAGUGGCAGACGGGUGAGUAACGCGUAAGUUACCUAUCCCUGAGUGGGGAAUAACCCCGAGAAAUUGGGGCUAAUACCGCAUGACGCGCUGAGAGUAAUAUUUCGGCGUCAAAGCCGCAAGGCGCUUGAGGAUGGGCUUGCGUCCUAUCAGGUAGUUGGUAGGGUAACCAGCCUACCAAGCCGAUGACGGGUAGCUGGUCUAAGAGGAUAUCCAGCCACACUGGGACUGAGAUACGGCCCAGACUCCUACGGGUGGCUG
rnacentral:rRNA from 1 species